rnacentral:rRNA from 1 species
AGUCGGACGGCAGCGGGGUAGUGCUUGCACUACUGCCGGCGAGUGGCGAACGGGUGAGUAACAUAUCGGAACGUACCGAGCAGUGGGGGAUAACUAAUCGAAAGAUUAGCUAAUACCGCAUAUAUUCUGAGGAAGAAAGCAGGGGACCUUUGGGCCUUGCGCUGUUUGAGCGGCCGAUAUCUGAUUAGCUGGUUGGUGGGGUAAAGGCCUACCAAGGCGACGAUCAGUAGCGGGUCUGAGAGGAUGAUCCGCCACACUGGGACUGAGACACGGCCCAGACUCCUACGGGAGGCAGCAGUGGGGAAUUUUGGACAAUGGGGGCAACCCUGAUCCAGCCAUGCCGCGUGUCUGAAGAAGGCCUUCGGGUUGUAAAGGACUUUUGUCCGGGAAGAAAAGCGCGAUGUUAAUACCAUUGCGUGCUGGCGGUACCGGAAGAAUAAGCACCGGCUAACUACGUGCCAGCAGCCGCGGUAAUACGUAGGGUGCGAGCGUUAAUCGGAAUUACUGGGCGUAAAGCGGGCGCAGACGGUUACUUAAGCAGGAUGUGAAAUCCCCGGGCUCAACCUGGGAAUUGCGUUCUGAACUGGGUGGCUAGAGUGUGUCAGAGGGGGGUAGAAUUCCACGUGUAGCAGUGAAAUGCGUAGAGAUGUGGAGGAAUACCGAUGGCGAAGGCAGCCCCCUGGGAUGGCACUGACGUUCAUGCCCGAAAGCGUGGGUAGCAAACAGGAUUAGAUACCCUGGUAGUCCACGCCCUAAACGAUGUCGAUUAGCUGUUGGGCAACUUGAUUGCUUGGUAGCGAAGCUAACGCGUGAAAUCGACCGCCUGGGGAGUACGGUCGCAAGAUUAAAACUCAAAGGAAUUGACGGGGACCCGCACAAGCGGUGGAUGAUGUGGAUUAAUUC